CGAGCGUUCAUUUCCGUCUGGGAUCUCGUCGAGAAACUCCGCGAUUAGCGUUUGCCCGUUAGUCCGAAACGUGUUUUGGACAGCGUCUCGCCUGAUCAACUUAAUUUCGGCAUGCUCGCGGUUUUUCUAAUUAAAACCGAGGCGAACAUGAGAUUCCAUCGCUUCACAAAUUCAUUCGAACCGGAUAAGGCGAAUGGUUGAAAGCCUAAAUGUUAAAACGAUAUACUUCGACAUGUGAAAUAAAUUCGUGGACUUCGUUCUCGAGAACAGAGAAUUUCUAAGAGAAGGAAAUACUGUGAUACACGAGGAUGAAGGAUAAAUUUUGAGUCGGCGAUGAUUCUCGGAUCAGGGUGAAUAAUAAAAUAAUCCGACUUCUGGCAUUCACGAUGCAUCGUGAUCUCUGGUUUGCAGUCGUAUGAAGACUAAAAGAAGCUGGAGGAAGGGAUAAUUCACGUGCACCUCUAAUUAUAACACUUCUGUUAUUUAUUUGAAUUAUAAUCUUUUAAAUACUUGUAAAA